CAUUGGGCAUCGGGGUGAAAGCAGAAUAUCUGGUGCUGGAUUGCACUGUCCACUGUCCUGUGUGGUAACAUGGAAAGGGUAGAUCUUGAGUCUGAGAUGUUUUUACUUUUCCAUUAAUAACCAGUAUUGCUGUGAUUUGUUCUGAAUUUUUUCUGCCAGACAAUUUGGCUGAUGAAAUCAUCAUCUGCUGGACAACUACUGAACCAUCUAAAAGCAGGUAAAAACAGGCGGAGCUUUUUGGCAUGCUUUCUCCGGGUUAUCUUUCAAUGACACAAGUGAAGCAUUUUCUCUCUUAUGAUCAUAAUGUAGCUGGACACAUCAGCGGCACAGCGAGUAUACAGUAUAUCCUGCCAACGAAUUUCUGAAGCAUAGUGCUUUGUUGGCACAACACUCAUUGAUUCAAAGUGAUGAAUUUUUUUAACUGUUACAAAAUGAGUGAACAAAACAAAAAACGAUUGUGUCAUUUUCUAUGCUAAGCUAAGAUAGCCAGCUGCUGGCUGCUACCUUGAGUUUGAUGGUUGGAGAAUGGUCUCAUUUUUCCUUAUCUAAAUUAAGACAAGACAGAAGAGCACCCAGGCAGUGUUAUUUCUUUAAACUGAUGUGGAAAUCAAGAGUUGGCUGCAGGCUGCAGCACCUGAUACUAAUUUUCAGGCCAGAAAGAUGCUCAAACGGAGGGCUAAUAGCAGAACAAACAUGUAGUAGUUCCUGUGCGUGAUGUAUUCCUCUGGUUUUCGACACAUUUUUGUGUCAUAACAGAGGUUCUGACCGAACUGCUACGUCUCCUUAAAUACAAACCAAAUGGGCCAUUAUGCUGUCGAACAGUUGCUGUAGCUCACCGCUCCUCGGACUAACUGUGGCUCAGCCAAGCUGCUGCGGCGGGUGCAAAAAUUACGACAGCUGUCUCAGGUAAACGGUGUAAUAUUUACUCUCUGUCAUAGCAACACCGACGAGUUCUCAGCUGAGUAUCGUGUUGGUUUGAAGCUGCAGAAUGUGAUCGGCUGCAGCUGGAACCAGAUCCCACUUCAUGCAGUUUCUUGGACUGAAUAAAUACUUAUUUCUGAGUCACAUGUGAAAGAGAAAUAAGACUUUAGACACUUUCUGCCAUUGUUUGACUCCAAGCUUAUGUCCAGAUCUGCAUGGCUCUGGUUAGUAAAGCUGGUUCAUAUAAUGACCCCCUCCAUCAGCUCUGAAAUGAAGGUUUCUGUAUGUGUCCAUAUAUGUCCUGGUGAGGUAAGCCCACAGACAUCUCCACCCAAAGAUGGUGCAAAGCGUGAUGACUGAGCUCCAAGGAAGAAUUCAGAGUGCACAGAGUGAGCUCUGUCAGCACUGAGAGGGCCAUAGUUUCCAGAACCCUCCAGAGGUCUCAGACAGCACUGCCAAACAGAGCUUUAAAGUCCUGCUGUGGGCUUUGAAGUGUUAAUGAAGAUGAGACCCCUGUGUCUCUGACAUGAAGAAACCAUGCAGAGCUCCUCUGUGGACAUUGAAUUUGGCUUUGGAUCUUCUGGUUCAGUCAUCGUAAAUGUUGGUGAGAUGUCCGUGGACAUAAGAUAUUAAAGAUUACACUUUAACCUGAAGGGAAAUGUAUGAUACUUUUCAGGAUAUUUUUCCUCACCAAUGACAUCUACAGUUACAUUAACUGUGUAUUCAGUAUCAUAAAAUUAUGUACUUUUGACCCACAUUUAGUCACAAGAGUCAAGGUCUUUGACUUGGUUUGGCAUUGCUCUCAGCAAACAUACACAGACAGUGGCAUACUCAGGCUAUUUUAAGAACAGAAAAUGAGUGUUAAAAUGUUACACUUUCCAUGUUUAAGACACUUUCUUGUGGCGUGUGGUGUAUCUUGUGGACCCAGAAGCAGACACAGAGGCAGAUAGCAAAUUAAUGAUGUAUUUAAUGUCCAACUCAGGGAAAAAGGCAUGAGAGAAAGUCCAGUUUGCUGGCUGGCUGUUGUGUGGGCUGGAGACACUGUGGAGAGGCAGAGGAGAUGGAAGUGAGAAGAUAUACAAAGAAUCACAGGGAGCAAAAAAGUCACAAGCACUUAUCCAAUGAGAAGCGUCUUUACCACUAAGGAAUGAAGAAAAUACUCAGGCGCUAAGACUGAGGGCUGCUCCCUCCGAAAGGGCCUUGAUUGCAGAUGCAGUGCAGGUGUGGAGUCUCACUCAGCCUUAGCGACCGGGGAGGGGGCAGGUGCUCUGGAAAAGAGUCACGCCAGACCAGGAAAACAAAGAAAAACAGGAAGUCCAACCAAAAUAAAACAAGAGGAGGAGGCGUCUCACCACAGUACCCCCCUCUCAACGAACGCCUCUUGGCCAGGUUUGUUGGGGUGAGCGGCGUAGAAGUCGUUGAUGGUCCAGGAUGAGGGAGCGCUCCUCUGGCCCGUGUCCCUCCCAAUCCACAAGGUAUUGGAAGCCUCGACCCCGAGGCUGCACGUCCAUGAUUCGUCCCACAGUGAAGGCAGGGUGGUCGGGGGGGGGGGGGGGCUCAGGGUGCAUGAGGUGACAGGCUUUAUCAGGGAGACAUGAAACUUGGGGUGAAUUUUGAGGAAUGAGGGAAGUUUCAGUCUUACCGCUGAUAGGUUGUUAAUUUUCUGGAUCGGGAAGGGACCAAUGAAGCAGGGGGGACAGCUUGCGGGACUCGGUCUGCAGGGGAGAGUCACGGGACGAUAACCAGACCAUCUGACCGGGAUGAUAGUCUGGUGCUGGAGAGCGGUGAAUGUCAGCCAGGCGUUUGUUGUGCUUGGCCGUGCGGGUGAGUGCGGCCCUGGCGGAUCUCCACACUUCCCAUAGACGCCCAAUGUGCUCCCUCACUGACGGAACAGCCACCGGGUGCUCCUGUUCGGGAAACAGGGGGGGCUGGUACCCAAAACAGCACAUUGAGGGGGGGCAUACCUGUGGCCGAGGAGGUGAGGGAGUUAUGGGCGUACUGGAUUCACGGGAGGGGAGUACUCCAGGACGCUGGAUGAUGGGCCGCCACACACUGCAAAGCCGACUCGAGGUUAUGAUUGGCCCGCUCCUUCUGGCUGUUGGUCUGUGGGUGGUAGCCUGAGGAGAGGCUAGCUGCCGCGCCUACUGCCUGGCAGAAAGCUUUCCAGACCUGGGAGGAGAACUGGGGACCACAAUCUGACACUAUGUCCAUGGGGAUACCAUGAAGUUGGAAUACAUGAGACACUAGGAGAUAAGCAGUUUCUAGAGCAGACAGGAGCUUGGGUAAUGGGACAUAAUGCACAAAUUUGAAAAAUCUGUCUAUGAUGGUGAGUAUGACUGUGUUACCUUCAGAAGGGGGGAGACCAGUGACGAAAUCUAGAGCUAUGUGAGACCAGGGGCGUGAGGGCACAGGCAGAGGAUGCAGUAAGCCAGCCGGAGGUUGAUGGGAAGCUUUGCCUCGGGCACAGACGGAGCAGGCAGCAGCAAAAGCCGUACGUCCAGACCAUCCCCGGCCACCAGAACCACUGCUAAAGGAAUUGGAGGGUGCAUUGAAAUCAGGGGUGGCAGGUGAGUUUAGAGGAGUGCCCCCACUGUAGGACCUGGGAACGUGCAACCUCAGGGAUGAACUUUCUAUCAGGAGGGCCGGUUCCAGGGUCCGGGUGUUUCCGGAGGGCCUUGUCCACCAAGGUGUCGAUCUCCCAAGAGGCAGAGCCAAGGAUACAGGAGGCAGGGAGGAUGGUGUCCAAUUCUCUGGGGUCUGAGGUAGCCGAGGAGUGUAUCCGAGAUAGGGCGUCAGGUUUAGGGUUGGGGGAGCCGGGACGAUAGGAGAGGGUGAAGCAGAAUCUGCUGAGGAAGAGGGACCAGCGGGCUUGCCUGGAGUUGAGGCGUCAAGCAGAAUGGAGAUAUUGCAGGUUUUUGUGGUCAGUCCAGAUGAGGAAGGGGUGUUGUGCUCCUUCCAGCCAGUGUCUCCAUUCUUGGAGUGCCCACACAACAGCCAGCAACUCACGGUUUCCCACGUCGUAAUUGCGCUCGGUGGGUGAGAAUUUCCGGGAGAAGUAGGCGCAAGGAUGGAGCUUCUGGGUCUCAGAAUCCCUCUGUGAGAGGACGGCCCCCACUCCAGACUCUGAAGCGUCGACCUCCACCACGAAUUGGAGAGAGGGAUCCGGGUGUUUGAGCACCGGGGCGGAGAUGAAGAGGGACUUGAGUUGACGGAAGGUGGCGUCUGCUUCAGGGGUCCAGGAGAACGGAACUUUGAGGGAUGUGAGACGGGUGAGAGGCACAGCCACCUUGCUGUAGUUCCGGAUGAAUCUCCUGUAAAAGUUUGCAAACCCGAGGAAUCGCUGGAGGUCUUUGCAGGAGGAGGGAGUGGGCCAGUCACGGACGGCGCAGACUUUCUCCGGGUCUGGGCUUAGCUCCCCCUGGGCAAUGAUGUAUCCAAGGAAGCUGACAGAGGAGGCAUGGAACUCGCACUUCUCAGGUUUGACAAAGAGGCGGUUCUCAAGGAGGCGCUGGAGGACAAGUCGAACGUGCUGUUGAUGUUCCUCCAGGUUGCGGGAGAAGAUCAGUAUAUCGUCCAGAUAGACGAAGGCGAAUUGGUUAAUCAUAUCACGGAGGACGUCAUUAAUGAGAGCCUGGAACACAGCGGGAGCAUUGGUGAGGCCAAAGGGCAUGACGAGGUACUCGAAGGGGCCAAUGGGUGUAUUGAAGGCCGUCUUCCACUCGUCACCCUCCCUGAUGCGAACCAGGUGAUAGGCAUUCCGCAGGUCCAGUUCGGAGAAGAUGGAGGCAUUGCAGAGAGCUUCGAAGGAGAGAUCGAUGAGUGGCAGGGGAUACUUGUUCUUAAUGGUGAUCUCGUUGAGUCCACAGAAGUCGAUGCAGGGACGGAGAGAGGAAUCUUUCUUUUUUACAAAGAAAAAGCCAGCAGCAAGGGGAGAGGAUGAGGGCCGGAUGAGUCCAGAUGUCAGCGAAUCCUGGAUGUAUUCCUCCAUGGCUUCUCGUUCGGGCCGAGAGAGAUUGUACAGUCUGCUGCUGGGGAGAGGGGCCCCAGGGAGCAAAUCUAUGGCGCAGUCAUAGGGGCGAUGAGGAGGAAGGACGAGAGAUUGUUCUUUAUUAAAAACCAAUGCCAGAUCAUGGUAAACAGGGGGGACCGAGGCGAGAGAUGGUAAUGGCGGUGCCGACCUUUGUCGGUGGAUGAAGGGAUUGGCGGAGCGGAGGCAGUGAGAAUGGUAGUGAGGACUCCAGGUGGAGAUUGAAGCGGUGGACCAGUUAAUUUGGGGAUUGUGGUUUCCUGAAAGGAUGAGGGUUGAGAGGAGUAGUGCAGUGGGAUAUGAUGGCCAUAACCCUGCCAUCGAGAGCGGUGACCUUAUGGGGAACCGGGAGUACCUCCAGGGGGAGCUGAAGCCGCGCUGCCAGUCCGGCAUGAAUGAAGUUGUCAUCUGCCCCUGAGUCAAUAAGGGUUUGUAGCGAUGUACAUUCUUUCCCCACAGGAGGCAAGCAGGUACGGAGAUAUGUCUGGGGGAGCUGGGGACAGAGGAGGUUUGGCUCAUCAGGGUGCCCUCUGUCACUGAUUAGCCUGGCCGUUUAAUCUUGUUAGGACAGCUGGGCAGAAAGUGGCAGGCCUGGCCACAAUAGACACAGAGCUUCUGAUCCAUCCGUCGUUGCCGUUCGCUGGGGUGUAAUUUGGUGCGGCUGAUUUGCAUGGGUUCCCCGGUAGAGGGCUCCAGAUCCAGGUGAACUGAGGGCUGCAGAGGAGACCCACUGACUGCAAAAGAGGAUGGGGAGUCUACGGUAUGGGUAGGGUAAUUUAAUUUAUUUUCCCUCCGUCUCUCCCUUGAGGCAAUUGUCUAAUCGUAUGGCUAUUGGGAUUAGCUCCUCAAGUGAGGAGGGUUCGUCACGAGCAGCUAAUUCAUCUUUUAGCUGUUCGGACAGACCAUGAGAGAAUACACCCUUUAACUCUUGUUCCCCCCACCCACUCUUAGCCGCCACUGUGCAAAACUCAAUAGAGAAUUCCACCACAGACCGAGAGUCCUGGGUGAGGGAAAACAACUGCUUAGUACAUUUGGGACCCUUGACAGGAUAAUGAAACACCUUGCAAAGUUCCUCAGUGAACCUGGCGUAUGAGGACAACAUCAGCGAAUUUUUCUCCCAAAUGGCAGUAGCCCACUUAACGGCUUUGCCUCUUAAAAGGUUCACAGUGUAGGCAAUCUUGGACUGAUCCGAGGGAUAACUAAUUGGCUGUUGAUCGAACACUAAAGCACAGUGGAGCAGGAAACCUCUGCAGCCCCCAAUCUCCUCAGCAUAUGGCUCAGGAGGAGGGACAUAGGGCUCUUUGAUGUUAGGAGAGGGUGGGGAAGGUGUACAUAUACAUGUAGACAGCACUCUUUCCAUAUUUUUAAUAUAUUUCCAUAUUUUUCAUCUGAAAGAUCAUCUACUGGGCUAGUUUUCCAAGUGUAAUUCUCUAGUGUGAGGACAGGGGAACAUCCAGGGGUCAAUUUGCCGUUAUUCAUACUUUGAUGAGCAGCUAUCAAUGCAAAGAAAAGGAACAAGAGAGGAUGUUUUAUAAAGCAUUAUAACUGGAGCAUCUAAGAGGGCAGGACCUCUGCAGGACUGUAAAGAUUUGAGGGCUCCAGGGGAGUAAAAAAUGAAACAUCCCUUUAUGUGAUUAAUGCUGAUGUGUUGGUCAUACUGUUUGAAAAACUACAGUGAACUUUUCAGGUGAUAUUAUGGUCUAAUACCAAAAUUUUGACUUUUUUAAAUCAAUACUAAAUUACUUAUCAUGAUUUAACUGAAUUGUCACAAGAGCAUACCUGUAUUAUUUUAUCUAAUUUGGACUAAUUGAGGGAUCAAAUAUAUAAUAUUUAUAUCUAAGAUAUAUUCAAAACGCAAUGAGGCAGAAAAGAAAUCUCUCACAAAUGUCCUGGCCAACAUAGACAGGAGCACAGUAAAAAUAAGUUUCAGAAAAAAAGCAGACAUAAAUUCAACAAAGUAAAACAAACAUGAAUGAUACAUUAAAAAACAUGAAAUAGCAAAUCAAGUGAACUACAAUCAUGAGCAGAUAAUCUUUCUGCCUCCAAGUCUCAACUGAGUGAAUACAAAAUAAAGACAAUGUUGGUAGAAAGUGCUGUAAUACUUAUACAUGUUUAAAUACAUGUUUAUUACUUUGGGGCUGAAAUUUAAAUAUUCCUCUGUAUAUGUGUCAAAGAAUAAACUUGUUGACUCCAGAUGACAUGAGCUGCCUACGGCUGACUACAGUUAACUACAGCUGACUACAGCAGUCCACCUUGUUUUUCUGAGGCAGAGGUAGUCUCAGGGCACCAACAUGGCAUCAUUAUUAUACUAUAGUUACACUAAGUAACGUCUGACUGAGUGGGUGAUCAAUAACAGUUGCUUCGUAUUAUGGUCUUUAAAUGACAAAUGUUUUUUCAAAUAUAAUUUAAAUUGCAAGAAAUUUGGUAAAUUGUCAGAGUACAGAAAGUCUUUAAAGUAAACAGGUUCCUGAAGGCUGCAUAGAUAAAAAUGAUUAAAUGUGGACACUGCUUUCAGAAAGAUUUAAAGUGUCUGAUGCAGCAGGCAGCCAAACAAAACCUCUGAAGGACUCUGAGCUGAACAGGACUGAAUUAAACCGUUGAUAAAUGCCAGUCCUCUGAAGAGCUGUAGCUGCAGAGAGAUCUCAUCAGAGGUCUAAUCAGCCAUGACGGGCUCGUCAAUCCAGACAGCUUUACUCCGAACAUGUGUGUGUAUUUAUCUGAGGGAGGAGACAAAUAAAAAUAAGAGCUGUCUCACUAACAUCUGGAGGAGUGGGCUCCUGCGUGGGCUGUGUGUGCCCGUCUGAUUCCAGAUUUAUGCUAACAUUACAGCUCUGGCUCUGCUCUUUGUGCUGGAGGCCUGUUGGUUUACUGGCCUUCAGAGCUGGCUGCCACCCUGAUGCCACACCGCCUGCCAGGUCUGCAGCCUCUCUCUCUCUCUCUCUCUCUCUCUCUCUCUCUGUGUGUGUGUGUGUGUCUGUAUGUGUGUGUGUGAAUACCUGCUCUGAUGAAGCGUGUGCGUGCUUCUCACUGUUCUUUUAAAAUACGUGCUGAGCCUUCUCUAAAUCUGUGCUCCAUUUGUGGGAUUUUUCCAUGUGGUGAUAAAAGGGGCCGGACCCUCCGCCCCCUCCUGUACACACAAACCCCAACACAGACGUAGAGAUUGAAUCUCCUCCAUCCGUCAACAAUGUAUCUUUGUGUUCCCAAACACAAAGUGUUAACGUGAGAGGACCUUCCAGCCUCUCUCAGGCCUCGCUUGCUGCCAAACCGCAUUCCUCCAGCAGCUGCCAUUUCUUACAUCUGCUGCAUUGACGUGGUUUCACUUGACUGUAGUGAGGAAUUUAUUUAGCUUUUCUGUGAUGAAAUAUUACACAGAGACACCCGGCCCUGCUCCCCUCUGUGUCUUAUUUGUGAUCCCGUGGCUGUCAUUAUGUUAUGAGAGGUUGUGGCUUCUGUUUUACUCUGCUGUCCGCCUGCUGCUGCUGAGGCUAACACAGCGGUGGAAAUACUCUCUGACCUCGCAGUAUUUCAAACAGACCUGCUGCGGAGACUGGCACUGCACACUGUGUGAAAUCAGGCUGUUUAGAGAGAAAUUAAACUUUACACUUUUACCUCCAAAAGGAGGAAAUAUGGAUGGCAAAGUUUACCACGUAGUUAGAGGUAAGUUUUGUGUGUCUCCACACAAGCUUUGCAGAAAAACUGAGUUCAAACCAGGGCUGCACGAUACUACAAAAACAAUACUGCAAUAUUUUUCCGCUGUGUAAUAUACUUAAGACAUAUAAAUACUGAAAUAUACAGCAGAUAAAUGCAAAGUAGUUCAAAUACUUUUUGAACAAUAAAAAUGUUCUUAUCAUAUUCAUUAUUUAUUCCUUCAGUCUUGACUAAUAAACACAGUUCACUGAUUUAGAAGUCAUCAGUGAUUUCUGUCAGCAUCUAAAAUAUUUUUUUUUUCAAAUUUUUCCAUAGAGCACUAAUUCACAAAAAGUGUUGUCUGCAGAUGCUUUACAUAAAAGGUGGUGUGGACCAUGACCAGUAACAAAGACAUCAAAUGAUAUUUAAUCUGCAUCACUAGCAUCAUAACUGUACACUAAUUUUUCCAAACUCUGUUUUCUUUUGCAUGUGAUUUUCAGAUCACCACAGUGUUUGUGCUCUGUAGGUUUAGAUGCAGAAGUUUAAAGAUUAUGUUUCUGUUAAAGGUCCCCUAUUAUGAAAAAUCCACUUUUGGGUGGUUUUCCACCAAUUAUAUGCAUCCCCUCAAAUCCGACCCCUUGGGUGUGUUUACCAUCAUUGGUAUUCAUCUUUGGACUCACGGGUGUUCCUUGGGGGUGAAGGCAAGCUGGUGCUUCCAGGUGGGGUGGUGUGGAGGUCCUCUGAAGAGGUCCUCAGAAGAUCUCCAGACCACCACUCCUGGGCCACCGCUGCAGUGUUGGCAGCUCAGAGUGGCCUUGGGGAGGAAGAGUGUGGUUACACACAGCUCACUAUCAAAUUUUAAGGUACCUGCCAAAGACUGUACUAUGGCAUACUAUGGACAACUUGGUUCUGCCUCCCGUCAGUAUAUGGAUUUGAAGCCAAAAAGCUCUCUGUAUUUCCGCGAUUUUUCUUCAUUUCCUGAAAGCAUUACUGCGCAGUAGCGUUGUGCGCAUUUGGCGGGAGAGUUGCUGUGAUGACGCUGGGCUCAAACAGCAUUUCCCCCUGGUGAGCUACGCAAUCCUUGAAUGCCAAUAGAGCUGUACAGAAAAAUGAGGACUUGAGCACAAACCAGUCUUACUGUAACUACAUGUCAACACCGCAAGCAGGGGGAGAAAAAUGUAUGUUCUGUGUAAUUAAUUUCUAAAGUUUGUCCACAGCUCCAUAAGCUUUGCUGGCGGAGGCGGGAUUUAUGACCUAUACUGCAGCCCAUCAACAGAGGGUGCUGUUCUCGGAGUGGCUUCACCCAGCAAGGAGGCAGACUCUGUCCAUUCUAUAUACAGUCUAUGAUAAGUACACUCAUCAUGCGCACAGUGCAAAUAUAAAUAUAAAUGUCAACUUAGACUUUUACAAAAAAUCUUAUAUAUAAAAAAGAAAAAAACACAUAAGCAAUAACAACAAAACUUAAACUGGUUCUGCACAGACCUUUAAAGUUAGUUUAGCAGUUGGUGUCCCCACUACUUCAACUUCAACUUUAUUUCAUUUAUAUGGCACUUCUCCUACAAGUUGUAACACAAAGUGCCUUACAAACAUAAAAAGAAAAUGAAACAUUAAAAUCCCCAAGAAAACCCCAAACCUCCCACCCGCACAAUUAUACCCAUACACACACCCGUGAACAUAGACAUACAUUUCCACACACACAACCUCACAUACACACACACCUACACAGUUCGCAGCUGAUGGUGAGGAGACAUGACUGGGCACUGAGAUCUGAGGUGAGGAAGACGCUACCUUUGGGGGCCACGUCGACCGGGAGGCGUCCAGGCCCAUUGCUGCAGGGGGCGCCGUCACAGGGACCACCAGCCCGGGCAGACAGGAGGCUCUGCACCAAGGUGUAGAGCUCUCUGGUUCCACCCGGGCCAGAGCUGUCCCCAGAGCGGCGUCCCCACCAACAGACCAGAACCCGCUCCCGGUGAAGCAGCCCCCAGGAGGAAACACUGGAAAAACUGAGGGACUAAAAGAAUAAAAUAAGACAUAAAAGUAUAGAAACUAAAACUGAAGGAAUAAAACUGUAAUCGCUAAGACAGACCCAGUAAAUAAUGUAAGAUAAAAUGAUUCUGUGCACUGUAUAACACGCCAGACUAAAAAUAAUAAUAAUAAAAUUGAUAGAUUGAAGUACUGUAUAAAAUAGAAUGGUAAUAAAAAGUGUUAGAUAGUAAAACAAUAAAAGUGAGCAUAAAAGGGAUUAAAAGAGUUAAACUAGUCAGUUAAAAGCCUGAUUAAAAAGAUGAGUCUUUAGCCUCU